GACACAGGGCACCUAAGCACUCUGAGAGAGUGAUCAGAAACAUAAUGUCAAACACUGGCAUUAAAAGGUGAUGGAGAAGAAAACAAAUGGCUUCCCCAUUCUCUUAGGGAGACUUUUCUUAAGGCACAAAUAUCUCUUUGGGUGACUUUGAGGCCACGGUGCCUGAUACACUGAGCCAUAUUAUGGGUGUCCAUUUCCAUGAAUUGGUGGGCAAUGCCAGAGACACAGAGCUCAUGGUCACCAGCUUCCUCCAGCCCACACCUGGUUUUGGUGCAGGGCGCUGAGCAGAGACCUUUGCUUGUUCCCCUCCUUUGCCAGUCAGGAAAGGGUGGUUGUGAGACAGAGGCUCCAUUUACAGAGCGGGGCUAUGUGUUAGUCCCUGAAGAAUUGUGAGAGCCAUUCUGGGUGGAAAUAAUCCAAUAUACAAUCACUAAGGAUGGCUCACAGAUAGACCGAAGCCCCAGUUUUGCCAGAAUGAUUUACAUUAAUGCUUUAAAGAGGAAUGCAGUUUUAACUCUUUAGGCAUUAAAGACCAAAAAUAGACUAGCUAUUUUUAAUAAUUGAAUCUUAAACAGACCAAAGUCAGAAAAUCUUCCCUAAGGAAAGCAUUUUCUUCCACCCACUCACUAAAGCUGUAUUUGAGAAAGCUGUGUGCUGUUGAUAAAUGCUGGAAUAUCAUUACAAUCGACAUCGUAAUAAUACUGCUACUUGGAUCAGAAACAAAGAGCAUUUCUAAAGCUUGAACAAUGUGUAACUGGAAACAAGCUCUCACUGAGUUUGGAAAUGCAGGCACUAGAGGGUUCUCAUUUCUCUUUCUUUUCCAAUCAGGGGGCUAUUCAAACCUAUUCUAGAACAAGGAGUGAGAUCCCCCAUUUCCCUGUGGUGAUCAGGCUUUCAGAGGUAGAAGCCUUAUUAGUUCAUAAUCAGCACAAACUGACUUCACCAUCAAAUGUAUCGACCCUGAUGCUCACCCUCCUCAGCAAUCAGAGACUGGCUGUGUUCACCAGGAGCUCAUGUGUUUUUACGGAGCACACUUUUUCCUCAGUUUAUUACAAAAAAUAAAUGGGCCUUUAUAGGGAGUUCCAUAGACAGAAGCUUUCUGUACUUUGUCCAUUUAGACACUACAAAUUCUGACACCUGAUGAAAAGUGUAAACUUAAAGCUUGCAUGUGGUUAAGAUUUUUUAAUAACCAAAUUAAAUAAUAUAUAUGUAACAAAAAUGUCAGUAAUGCUUUCGAACCCAAUCCCACCUUCUAUUGGUAAUGAAUAUUAACACUCUGGUUUGCUUCCUUUCACCCCUCUUUUCUGUGUUCAUGCAUAACUUUCUACUCAAGUACACCUACAGAAAAUGGGUUCACCUGUACAAUUUACCGGCCACAUGCACACUGUUUUCUGUUAAUAUUCCUUGGUCUUUAUUGUUCCAGGUUGGUUGAUAUAGAUCUAACUUGCUCUAUUAGCUGCUUCACUUUGCAUAAUGAGGGUAGACAGGUACACUCGUGCUCUGUUGCCUGAUUCCUAAAUUCUGCCACAUCUUUUCUAAAGUGACCGAAUGGCAUCUUUACGCUUCCAGGUUCUCCUCACCCCAGCACUCAGCUGAUGAUUCCAGCUUUUCCAUCACUCAUAGUCCUAGCAGGGCCAGUGUGAGAGCUCCAUUGGUUUCUCCUGCAUGAGGAGACAGGAAGGGAUAAAAGGAUAGACUUUUAUCAAACCUACAAGAUGCUACACAGUAUCUCAGUUCAUGUGUGUAAAGCAUUGAGAGGAAUGUUAGUCUUGUUUUAUAGAUGAUUCUAGAUGAGGCUAGAGUCCAGGAAAGUUAACAAAUAGCCUUGCCCAUGGUCUCAGAGCUAAUAAAUGGUGGAGCCAGAUGGAGGGCAGUCGUCUUGCUUCCAUGUGGAAUUGAUAGAUGUGUCACUGGAGUUUGAGGGUGGGGAAGUCUAGAACCAUCUGGGGUUGUCUUUAGAUCAGACACCAGGGUUAAGAGACUCUGUGUACCCUAUAGCACUGCAGGUACAUGCAUCAUGGUGUUGGCAGUGGGGAGGUACUAGAGUGGGUAAGCAAUUAGUGGCCUGGAACCAGAAUAUCUGAGCUUUGAUAAAACUAUUCCCAUCACAAGAUGUAGCGGAGACUCUGAUGUAGAUAAACUAGGCCAGGGAGCUCUGUGAGGAGCUGUUGUUAAAAUGAGGGAGGGAGGAGAACCAACUAAGUGGUCACUUCCUAUAUGUGAAAUGUAGAGGAAAACAAUAUUAACUAGAAUCCCAUCUGAUUUUAGCCAGUUUUGCUUUGUAAGUAGUUGGAAGGUGGGAUAAUUUAUUUUCAAGGUUAAGUAAACAUCAGUACCUCACCUUUACCUUAUGAAGACUGUUGGCGAAGCAAAAAAUGGCACGGCCAAUAGAGUCAGAGUUUGUUUAAUAAAUAUCUCAGAGUUCAAAGAGAGACUCUUACGGGGCAGAAAUUGGUAAAUGUUCCUGCAUUCUAAAAUUAGGAGGAUCUUACUUUCUUUGAAUCAGCAGAGAAGGAAGCACAGGCAGUGGGGAGGGUCAGUUGGGAACACGGCAGAGUGGCCGCAGGAUGUCCAAGACAAAGGACAUGUAAUAUCAAAUUCUAAGCUGUGAAACUGUGAUGCAACCCUCCCCCUUCUCCUAAUGGAUUUUUUAGGUCUCAGCACAGAUGCACACCUGAGGGAGUAAUUUCUUUGGAAAUUAAGGACAAAUUGCUGUGUUAGUAACAAGUUCACCUUACAAAACACACCUGGAAAUGGAAAUAAGAUUAUUUCUAAGGCCUUUUCUACUCUAAGAGUCUCUGACUUGGUGGUAAGCUGAGAGGUGAGGAUAGGGGGUUGUUGAUCCACAUGUGAUGAGUACCAUGAGGUUCUACCAUGAAGCAUAUAGUUCUGAGAGUGAAUCAGAGCCCUAGGAAGAAUAAUGCCCUUGAUGUUGUUUUGCCCUGUGCCAUCCCAAACCACCCCACUCAUAAUUGAGCAACCAUGGAAAUGAGGGUAGCCAGAAGGAAUCAAUUCCUGCAGCUUGGUUCAGUAGACAGAGGGACCUGGAGGAAGGGUGUUGGCUGGGUCUAGGAGAAGAAGAUGAGCUCAGAAAAUAGACAAGGAGAACCCCCAGGGAAAACUUGUGAAACCCUGAAGGAAUCACGAGAUAGGUUAUUAGAGUUCUUUUUUAUUACUAAAAUUUAUUUAUUACUAAAUUAAUGGCAGUAACCCUGCACAAAGGGAUAUUCCCUAUGAAAGAUGACAUCUCACAUAAAAACAGAGCAUUCUUCCUUACCUUAAAGUCAGACCUCUCUCCCCAAGUCCCUCAUGCAUCAGGCCACCUUUGUACCCACAGAUCAUGGGCAGCACUGGGUGGUCACCAUCAUCCACACAGAGAUGGCAGUCAGCAGCGUGAGGUGGCUCUGUCUGCUGUGGUCUCACCCCAGAUAUGGAAAGCAAGAGCCCUGGGUAGAGCUGAAGGUGCUCACCUGGGUUUGUCAGGAGUCCCAUCUGUCAGUGAAUUGAGAAGACACAGAGCAAACCUUGUCCAAUGUUGAUGAGCCUGCCCCUAGGAUUUGGAAACUUGAUAACAGAGAAAACCAAUAUAGACAAAGGAUUUUAAACAGGAUUAUGGUCAAUUAAGCAAAUUAGAAAAGGAUACUUGAAGGAAUAUUUGGGACACAGGAAUCAAAAACACCAGGAAGACAAGAGGAGUUUCCCUAAGACUCUAGACUACAGCACUACAUAGGUAACUAACACCAGGCUAUGUAUUAUAUUAUUGAAGAAAUAAAAUUGACAUUGAAUUACAAACUGUUCACAAAAAGUCAUGAAAAUCUUGUGGACUUGAUUCAAUUCAGACAAAUGUGUCCUUCUCAUUCUCAGCUGUUCACUGGUGCAUUUAUCUUGAAUUUGACCAUCUGGGGAAUGGGCGUGGUCUCUCCUGACAAGAAGGCUCUGGGGCCCAGGCAGGGAGAAUGACAUCUCAGAAUGAUUCCCUUGAGAGUCCUGUUGCCCUUUCAUCAAUGCACAGAACCAGAAGACCCCUCCGUCCUGUAGCACCUGCCAUGAGCAUUGAGCUCCUGUGUUGUGCGGCCUUUUCUCUCCUGUGGACAGGUCCAGUGAAUGCUGGUGUCACUCAGACACCAAAAUUCCAGGUCCUGAAGACAGGACAGAGCAUGAUAGUGCAGUGUGCCCAGAAUAUGAACCAUGACUACAUGUUCUGGUAUCGACAAGACCCAGGCAUGGGGCUGAGACUGAUUUAUUACUCAGUUACUGCUGGUAUCACUACCAAAGGAGAAGUCCCCAAUGGCUACAAUGUCUCCAGAAGAAACACAGAGGAUUUCCUGCUCAGGCUGGAGUCGGCUGCUCUCUCCCAGACAUCUGUGUACUUCUGUGCCAGCAGUUACUCCACAGCGUUACAAAGCUGUCUCCUCUCCGCACAUGAAAGCAGGGAGGCUCUGCCCUCCUCCCCCACCCAAGACUCAGGGAUGCCCUGGGCAGAGUUUUCUGGAACAGGAACCUUGGAACCCCAAGUGGCCCUAACUGGCCCAGACAGUAUGAGCCUCGCUCUGUGACAGGUGCCUCUGCAGGCAGUCUCAGCCAGGCCUGGGCUGAUCCCAGGUCCUCAGAUGUCUCCUUUCUUGCUCUCUCUGGUCUAUCCUCCGAGCUCUCCUUUAGGGGUUGGGCUAGGGCUCCCCCAGCUCCUACUUUUCAACUCAUCAUCCUGAGUCUGAGGCCCCCAGGAUGAAACAGGAUUUGUAUUUCACAUCCAUCUAGACUCCUGUCUCUCCCUGGUGACCAUGUUGCUUCCUCUCUCUAGGGUUUCCCCCACUCCCCACCCUCCUGUGGCCCACCUUUCCCAUCUCAGCAGUCAUUUUCCACCCCCUACCUCCCUGCCCCUCUCUACUGCAGCCAUGAGGGGAACCCCUCUUCUGUGACUCCUUCCUUCCCAUCACAGAGACUUCAAAGGCCAUUUUCUCUGCCCUGGGCUGGA